rnacentral:piRNA from 1 species
UAGAACAUUUUUUUAAAAUAU